CACGGGGGGAGCAAGCGUUGUUCGGAAUCACUGGGCGUAAAGGGCGUGUAGGCGGUCAGGUGAGUGGGAUGUGAAAUGCCCCGGCUCACCCGGGGACCGGCAUCCCAUACUGCUUGGCUUGAGUACGGGAGAGGAUGUGGGAAUUCCUGGUGUAGCGGUGAAAUGCGUAGAUAUCAGGAGGAACACCGGUGGCGAAGGCGGAUCUCUGGGCCUUACCUGACGCUGAGGCGCGAAAGCUAGGGGAGCGAACAGG
rnacentral:rRNA from 1 species